UCGAAUCCUGCAAUAGCAGAAUGACCCGCUAGCACGUUAAAAAUUUAGGUGAGCGUCGGGAGGCCUCGGUCUCCUGUUUGCGAAUCCAUGGUAGGUGGCCACUCCCGGGUGGCCACUGGCCUACAAAAUCAUUCGGGCGCGGUAUGCGCCAAAGGACCUUUAAAAUCGAAUUUGUACCGUCUGUAUCCCGUUUAAGCGGGCAUCGGCGUCUUUCCAAAAUAC
rnacentral:rRNA from 1 species